CACGGUUCACCUCGCUUGUGGGCAGAUGAGUCUCAAGUCUGUGGUGUAGAGAUACUGGCAUAAAGAUGCAGGUGGUUGUUAGAGAACAACUUGCACUGAGCCUGACCAACACGAAAACCACAUGGAUGUCUAUUCACUCGUCAGUGGUCUUAUCGAUGCUGCAGUGGUGUGAGUAGUCCUUUGACCUGCGGUGUCAUUGGCUAUUCGCAGCGAGGCUACUGAGUUUGACUGCAUGUUCCCUUGGUCCCUAGCCAUUUGGGUCCUUGCUGUGUAUGUUGGC
rnacentral:lncRNA from 1 species